rnacentral:rRNA from 1 species
GAUGAACGCUGGCGGCGUGCCUAAUACAUGCAAGUCGAGCGAACGGACGAGAAGCUUGCUUCUCUGAUGUUAGCGGCGGACGGGUGAGUAACACGUGGAUAACCUACCUAUAAGACUGGGAUAACUUCGGGAAACCGUAGCUAAUACCGGAUAAUAUUUUGAACCGCAUGGUUCAAAAGUGAAAGACGGUCUUGCUGUCACUUAUAGAUGGAUCCGCGCUGCAUUAGCUAGUUGGUAAGGUAACGGCUUACCAAGGCAACGAUGCAUAGCCGACCUGAGAGGGUGAUCGGCCACACUGGAACUGAGACACGGUCCAGACUCCUACGGGGGGCAGCAGUAGGGAAUCUUCCGCAAUGGGCGAAAGCCUGACGGAGCAACGCCGCGUGAGUGAUGAAGGUCUUCGGAUCGUAAAACUCUGUUAUUAGGGAAGAACAUAUGUGUAAGUAACUGUGCACAUCUAGACGGUACCUAAUCAGAAAGCCACGGCUAACUACGUG